rnacentral:misc_RNA from 1 species
UACAGAGGGUGCAAGCGUUAUCCGGAAUCAUUGGGCGUAAAGAGCUCGUAGGCGGUUCAGCAAGUCGGCUGUGGAAGUCCGAGGCUCAACCUCGGAAUUGCAGUCGAUACUGCUGUGACUCGAGUCCGGUAUAGGAGAAUGGAAUUCUCGGUGUAGCGGUGAAAUGCGCAGAUAUCGAGAGGAACACCAGUAGCGAAGGCGGUUCUCUGGGCCAGUACUGACGCUGAGGAGCGAAAGCGUGGGGAGCGAACAGG